AAACUUUGACUGAAGUUCCAUUUGUUCUUGAGAAUGAAGCUGCCAUUGAAGAACUGCACCAACAAGCAGAAGCUGAAGAAGAUGAAGAAAAGGUUCGGCAGUGGAGGAGGAAGAAGAAUGCGAGACAAGCCAAGGAAGAUCCGAACUUCAUACCCAUAAACCCGAGAAACCGACCCGAAAAACGAGUCAAAGGUGAGUGAGAGUCAAGACAAGUUAGGAGCAAAAGCUGUCAGUGGAGGUAUCCAAGGAGACUUGGGCGUGCAGCACAGAUGGCAUUAGAUGGUUACCAGAAAAGAGAAAGUAAUCAGUGGUCAAACAAAAGGAAGGUGGAGAUGAGCCUAAAAGAAGAAUUAGC
rnacentral:lncRNA from 1 species